GAUGAACGCUGGCGGCGUGCCUAAUACAUGCAAGUCGAGCGAACAGACGAGGAGCUUGCUCCUCUGACGUUAGCGGCGGACGGGUGAGUAACACGUGGAUAACCUACCUAUAAGACUGGGAUACCUUCGGGAAACCGUAGCUAAUACCGGAUAAUAUAUUGAACCGCAUGGUUCAAUAGUGAAAUACGGUUUUUCUUUCACUUAUAGAUGGAUCCGCGCCGCAUUAGCUAGUUGGUAAGGUAACGGCUUACCAAGGCAACGAUGCGUAGCCGACCUGAGAGGGUGAUCGGCCACACGGGAACUGAGACACGGUCCAGACUCCGACGGGAGGAAGCGGUAGGGAAUCUUCCGCAAUGGGCGAAAGCCUGACGGAGCAACGCCGCGUGAGUGAUGAAGGUCUUCGGAUCGUAAAACUAUGUUAUUAGGGAAGAACAAAUGUGUAAGUAACUAUGCACGUCUUGACGGUACCUAAUCAGAAAGCCACGGCUAACUACGUG
rnacentral:rRNA from 1 species